rnacentral:rRNA from 1 species
GAUCCUGGCUUAGGAUGAACGCUAGCUACAGGCUUAACACAUGCAAGUCGAGGGGCAGCAUAUCGAAAGCUUGCUUUGAUGAUGGCGACCGGCGCACGGGUGAGUAACGCGUAUCCAACCUUCCCUAUACUAGAGGAUAGCCCGGCGAAAGUCGGAUUAAUACUCUAUGUUGUAUUUCGAGGACAUCUGAAUAAUACCAAAGGGUUUACCGGUAUAGGAUGGGGAUGCGUCUGAUUAGGUUGUUGGCGGGGUAACGGCCCACCAAGCCCACGAUCAGUAGGGGUUCUGAGAGGAAGGUCCCCCCACAUUGGAACUGAGACACGGUCCAAACUCCUACGGGAGGCAGCAGUGAGGAAUAUUGGUCAAUGGACGAGAGUCUGAACCAGCCAAGUAGCGUGCAGGAUGACGGCCCUAUGGGUUGUAAACUGCUUUUAUACAGGGAUAAAGUGACGUACGUGUACGUUUUUGUAGGUACUGUAUGAAUAAGGACCGGCUAAUUCCGUGCCAGCAGCAGC